rnacentral:rRNA from 1 species
GGGUUGUGAGGUUAAGCGACUAAGCGUACACGGUGGAUGCCCUGGCAGUCAGAGGCGAUGAAGGACGUGCUAAUCUGCGAAAAGCGUCGGUAAGGUGAUAUGAACCGUUAUAACCGGCGAUGUCCGAAUGGGGAAACCCAGUGUGAUUCGUCACACUAUCAUUAACUGAAUCCAUAGGUUAAUGAGGCGAACCGGGGGAACUGAAACAUCUAAGUACCCCGAGGAAAAGAAAUCAACCGAGAUUCCCCCAGUAGCGGCGAGCGAACGGGGAGGAGCCCAGAGCCUGAAUCAGUGUGUGUGUUAGUGGAAGCGUCUGGAAAGGCGCGCGAUACAGGGUGACAGCCCCGUACACAAAAAUGCACAUGCUGUGAGCUCGAUGAGUAGGGCGGGACACGUGGUAUCCUGUCUGAAUAUGGGGGGACCAUCCUCCAAGGCUAAAUACUCCUGACUGACCGAUAGUGAACCAGUACCGUGAGGGAAAGGCGAAAAGAACCCCGGCGAGGGGAGUGAAAAAGAACCUGAAACCGUGUACGUACAAGCAGUGGGAGCCUCUUUAUGGGGUGACUGCGUACCUUUUGUAUAAUGGGUCAGCGACUUAUAUUCUGUAGCAAGGUUAACCGAAUAGGGGAGCCGGAGGGAAACCGAGUCUUAACUGGGCGUUAAGUUGCAGGGUAUAGACCCGAAACCCGGUGAUCUAGCCAUGGGCAGGUUGAAGGUUGGGUAACACUAACUGGAGGACCGAACCGACUAAUGUUGAAAAAUUAGCGGAUGACUUGUGGCUGGGGGUGAAAGGCCAAUCAAACCGGGAGAUAGCUGGUUCUCCCCGAAAGCUAUUUAGGUAGCGCCUCGUGAAUUCAUCUCCGGGGGUAGAGCACUGUUUCGGCAAGGGGGUCAUCCCGACUUACCAACCCGAUGCAAACUGCGAAUACCGGAGAAUGUUAUCACGGGAGACACACGGCGGGUGCUAACGUCCGUCGUGAAGAGGGAAACAACCCAGACCGCCAGCUAAGGUCCCAAAGUCAUGGUUAAGUGGGAAACGAUGUGGGAAGGCCCAGACAGCCAGGAUGUUGGCUUAGAAGCAGCCAUCAUUUAAAGAAAGCGUAAUAGCUCACUGGUCGAGUCGGCCUGCGCGGAAGAUGUAACGGGGCUAAACCAUGCACCGAAGCUGCGGCAGCGACACUGUGUGUUGUUGGGUAGGGGAGCGUUCUGUAAGCCUGUGAAGGUGUGCUGUGAGGCAUGCUGGAGGUAUCAGAAGUGCGAAUGCUGACAUAAGUAACGAUAAAGCGGGUGAAAAGCCCGCUCGCCGGAAGACCAAGGGUUCCUGUCCAACGUUAAUCGGGGCAGGGUGAGUCGACCCCUAAGGCGAGGCCGAAAGGCGUAGUCGAUGGGAAACAGGUUAAUAUUCCUGUACUUGGUGUUACUGCGAAGGGGGGACGGAGAAGGCUAUGUUGGCCGGGCGACGGUUGUCCCGGUUUAAGCGUGUAGGCUGGUUUUCCAGGCAAAUCCGGAGAAUCAAGGCUGAGGCGUGAUGACGAGGCACUACGGUGCUGAAGCAACAAAUGCCCUGCUUCCAGGAAAAGCCUCUAAGCAUCAGGUAACAUCAAAUCGUACCCCAAACCGACACAGGUGGUCAGGUAGAGAAUACCAAGGCGCUUGAGAGAACUCGGGUGAAGGAACUAGGCAAAAUGGUGCCGUAACUUCGGGAGAAGGCACGCUGAUAUGUAGGUGAAGCGACUUGCUCGUGGAGCUGAAAUCAGUCGAAGAUACCAGCUGGCUGCAACUGUUUAUUAAAAACACAGCACUGUGCAAACACGAAAGUGGACGUAUACGGUGUGACGCCUGCCCGGUGCCGGAAGGUUAAUUGAUGGGGUCAGCGCAAGCGAAGCUCUUGAUCGAAGCCCCGGUAAACGGCGGCCGUAACUAUAACGGUCCUAAGGUAGCGAAAUUCCUUGUCGGGUAAGUUCCGACCUGCACGAAUGGCGUAAUGAUGGCCAGGCUGUCUCCACCCGAGACUCAGUGAAAUUGAACUCGCUGUGAAGAUGCAGUGUACCCGCGGCAAGACGGAAAGACCCCGUGAACCUUUACUAUAGCUUGACACUGAACAUUGAGCCUUGAUGUGUAGGAUAGGUGGGAGGCUUUGAAGUGUGGACGCCAGUCUGCAUGGAGCCGAC